UACGGAGGAUCCAAGCGUUAUCCGGAUUUAUUGGGUUAAAGGGUGCGUAGGCGGCUUUUUAAGUCAGGGGUGAAAGACGGUGGCUCAACCAUCGCAGUGCCCUUGAUACUGAAGAGCUUGAAUACACUAGAGGUAGGCGGAAUGUGGCAAGUAGCGGUGAAAUGCAUAGAUAUGCCACAGAACACCGAUUGCGAAGGCAGCUUACUAUGGUGUGAUUGACGCUGAGGCACGAAAGCGUGGGGAUCAAACAGG
rnacentral:rRNA from 1 species